GCAGCCGCGGUAAUACGUAGGUGGCGAGCGUUGUUCGGAUUUAUUGGGCGUAAAGGGUCUGUAGGAGGUUUAUUAAAAUUGGGGUGAAAUCCCGGAGCUCAACUCCGGAACUGCCUUGAUGACUGAUGAACUAGAGUACUGGAGAGGUAAUCGGAAUACCAGGUGUAGCGGUGGAAUGCGUAGAUAUCUGGUAGAACACCAAUAGCGUAGGCAGAUUACUGGACAGAAACUGACUCUGAAAGACGAAAGCAUGGGGAGCAAACAGGAUUAGAUACCCC
rnacentral:rRNA from 1 species